AUGGCGUCAGGGGAGGCAGAGCCGCUGCAGUACACGACCACCGUGCUGCGGGUGUCCAUCCACUGCGAGGGGUGCAAGAAGAAGGUGAAGAAGGUGCUCCACAGCAUCGAAGGCGUGUACAAGGUGACGAUCGACGCGACGCAGCACAAGGUGACGGUCACCGGCAGCGUGGCCGCCGACGCGCUCGUCAGACGGCUGCUCAAGUCCGGCAAGCACGCCGCGCUCUGGCCGGUGCCGGCGCCGGCGCCGCCCGCCACAGAGGCCAAGAAGCCUGAGGAGGCCCCGUCUGCCGGGAAGGGCGGCAAGGGCGCGGAGAAGGCGGACGCCAAGCCCAAAAAGGUGGCCGACGAGGCAGAGCCGGAGAGCUCGGAGAAGCCAGACAAGGACGAAGGUUCAGAGAAGAAACCAGAGAAAGCAGCGGCGAAGAAACCCAAGGACGAGGCCAAGGAGGAGGGAGAGGAUCCUGAGAAGAAGGAGAAGGGCUCGCCGGAGCCGCCAGCCAAAGAAGCGGCGGCCGCCGACGAGGCCCCGGAGGCGGGCGGAGAGGAGACGGGGGGCAAGAAGGGGAAGAAGAAGAAGAACAAGCAGCAGAAGGAGGUCGGCGACGGGGACGCCGCUACGGAGAAGCCGCCUCCGCCGCCGCAGCAGCAGCAACAGCAGCCAAAGACAAAGCAGCCACAGCCGCAGCAGGCGAUGCCGCCCGUGCCGGCGCCGGGGCCGGGACCAGAGCGCGCGCACGGCCACGGCGGCCCGUUCCCGUACUACGCGCCGCAGCCGGUGAUGAGCUACAACAUGGCGCAGCCGAGCGCGAGCGUGUCGUACUACGCGCCCACGCCGGUGGCGUCCAUGCAGCCAAUGCCGCCUCCGCCGCCGUACGGCGGGUACUCGCCUUACCCGCCGAUGAUGAUGCCGCCGCCGCCGCCGCCGGAGUACAUGUACGGCCCGCCGGGCAUGCGGUCGUCCCCGCCGCAGGAGCCGUACAACAACAUGUUCAACGAGGAGAACCCCAGUUCCUGUAGCGUCAUGUGA
rnacentral:rRNA from 1 species